rnacentral:tRNA from 1 species
AAUGUAGAGCCUGAUUAAAGGAUUACCGUGAUAGGGUAAAACAUGUAACACAACUUACCUACAUUA